AGAUGGCUUAGUGGUUAAGAGCACUGACUGCUAUUCCAGAGGACCUGGGUUCAAUUCCCAGCAUCUA
rnacentral:tRNA from 1 species